UAAUAACGAUGAGCCCGAUCUCUAACGUUACUCCUUCGGUCAUUAAAUAGAAAGCCCAGAUCAGCAUCCUUCUGGCCUUCCUCUCCAGGUCUUACAAUAUGUACUGAACCAAUCCAACGGGAAGGAACUACAAGGGCACAACUUGCUGGUGUUCAAAACCAAAUGCCACCGCCAAUCUCUGCCGCGCAGGGCUCUGAUGAUGACCAGUCACCUUCAUCUUCUGGUCCACCCGUGGAAAUCUCUGAUUCCGACCUCGAAAAAGAUGAUCAGGAAACUGAAAUAGAAGUAGAGGAAGAAGAAAUCGAGAAUGAUAACGAAGAAGAAGAAUAUGAAGAGAUUAUAGUAGUAGAGGAAGAAGAGAUAGAAGAAGAAGUUGAAGUAGAAGAAGAUGAUAUGUCAGAUUCAUCAAAGGAAGCUAAUGUCAAAAGUAAUGAUGUUGGUCAAGAUACGGAGUUUGAGGGGACUGACAGGCAAUUGGGAUUACGUUCUACUCCUGGAAGGUCUUCGCUGGGGCUACCAUCUAAUUCCCUUGUAGAAGAUGGUGUCUGUAAUUCCCAAUUUUCUGGUCCUUUGAAUGAACCAGUGAAAUUGCAGGAGGAAUUGCAUGUGAACUAUGAGGAUUCCAAGUGUCUUCUUAAAUCAGGAACCACUGGGGAGAAUGGAAGUCAACGGUCUCUAGUUAAAAACGACACUGAGGCCCUUAUGAUAAAGAAAAAAUCUAAAGAAAUCAGCAAACACUAUAGUGAUAGCAUGGCUCAUUUUUUCAAUGAUGAAGCUAUGGCUGCUGAGACCACCAGUCCAUCUAGUAUCGCAGGAAAUGAGGUGUCUAAUGCCUUAGCUAUAAAAGACAGCUUAGGUAUGGAGACUAAUGGUAUUCUGGAUUCUGAGGUAGAUGUUAAUCCAAUGGAAAAACGGUCAGGGGAUAAAGAGCAAACAACAUCAAGGUUUUCCAGAUUGGUUACUUUGGAGAAAAGAACUCGAAGUCUAUCCCCUUCUGCUGAAUUCGAGGAUCAGAACAAGCGCCCAGCAGUUAUAUGUGACUUUUUUUCUAAAGGGUGGUGCAUUAGAGGUAGUUCAUGUACGUUCCUUCAUAUAAAAAAUAAAACUGUUAAUGCUAAAGAACAACUGGAGGGAGAUGCAGCUGCUGCAAAUUUCUCAAAAAGAGACCAGUUCGAUGAAGGUUUGAAAAACAUAACGGAAAAACCGAAGUUCCCUGGCUUUCCUGACCUAAUGGCUUCUUCAAUAGGAAAUAGUGCUGCAUUUUCUUGUCAGUUCUCUUCAGAAAGAAUCUUGGCACUUGAAAAUGGAGAAAGCCAAAGGUUGCAUCGGUUGGAUGACAAACAUAAGUCUUUAUCACUUCAGCGAGAGGACUUAUCUCAAGGUUUCCACUCUGACACACAGCAAUUUCCUUCAUCAAAAGAUGAUCAUGGCGUUUCUUCCUCAAAAAAUGUAGGGAUAGAGAAUCUUAGACGAAGUUGGCCUGCUUCUGAUUAUGGUAGCUAUGCCUCUCCAAUUAAUAGAGGUAGCUCUCCCUCAUUCCAGAGCAGAUUGCUUCCUGAACUUAGAUAUUCUUCAAGUUUCUCAUCUGUAACAUCAAGCAAUAACCAUCGAGAAAAUUCUUUUUCUUAUUUGAGCAGUCUGGACAAUCUAACAUAUAUUAGAGAUCAAUUUGUGCAAGGUACAAGCCUGGAUGGUUCUCUAUCAAGUAGUGUUAUGUUGCCAUCUCAGCAGAUCUCAGCUUGGAAAGGACCAUCGUUUUCUUUUAGUUCCUCUUUGAAUACAAGUCCUUUUGGUUCUCAAAAGCUGUCACACAAUGAUAGAAACUAUCAUGCUUCUAGAUCAUUACGGCAAAGUGCUUCCCUUCUCUUUGGUUCUGAUCGAGAAACUUCACUUCUAACCAGUGUAUCUAGGGAUCCAUUGCACUAUGCAGAACAUAAAGCAAAAAUUUCCUCAAAUGACUGGGAACCAUCCAUACCUUUUAGGCCAUCUUUUUCUGUCACUCAUACAAUGGCAUCAUCUCCUGGAAGCCAAUAUGAUCCUGUUCGUGAUAGCAUCGACUUAUCCACUACAGGAUACAGACUUCCCUUCAAAUUUUCUUUUGUUACUCAAGAGAGAUCCAACCUUAAUUCAUCACAUCAAUCAAUAUAUGACAACUCAUUAAGUAAAACCCUUGGAUCAGAAUGUCAUAAUGACAAAAGUACUGUGUCUCUUCAUGGUAGGUUCCAUGAAAAUGUGUUGGACAAGAAUUGCUCUACACCUGGAAAAGUGAUGGGGGGAACUUGUGUGGUCAGUGGACAAAAAGGAACCAUGCCCAAAGAAGAAAAUGCUUCAAGCAGCGGUCAUCUCAGUGAUGUACCAAAUACAAGCAAAAUUGAUGUUGAUCGUGAUUCUAGGCAUGAGUAUGACGCUCCAAGACAUAAACAGGACUUCAAGGUAGAUAGGGUUAGGCAAAAGAAUGAAAUGGAUGUUGACCAAAAGACAGAUGGAGAAUCAAGAGUUCUGAGACAUUUUCGUGCUGCUCUUAUUGAUUUUGUUAAAGAAUUGUUGAGACCAACCUGGCGCGAGGGUCAUCUCAGCAAGGAUGCACAUAACACUAUAGCUAAAAAGGCAGUUGAAAAGGUUCUUCGCACCUUGCAGCCUCAUCAAAUUCCAACUACGGUGGAAUCAACUAGGCAGUAUCUUUCGUCAUCUCAACCUAAAAUUGCAAAGCUUGUUGAGGGAUACUGUACAAAGUAUGGGAAGUCUUGACAUGCCAGGCCUAGCUUUUUCUUUUUCUUUUUCUUUUGUACAGUUUCCUACACAUUCUAGUAUUUGAAAAUUGCAAGAGGCUUGUUUGACAUAAUUAAAACUGAGAUUCAGGAAAACUACUUAGAAGUGUUGAUGUUGUUAGCUGGCUUCUAAGGCUAACAGUUAUUACAACUUUCUUUGUUCCAAUUUGGUUUGCAUUUAAGAUGCCUGUGUUAUUGCAUAUUGCUUUUCUACAACGCUGUCAAAUAUGUGGAUAUAUUUAUGGAGUGAGUUGCAGCUGUACCCUGGAGAUUGAAAUAUUAGCUGGGCAAGUCUUGUUUGGAGCUUGAGCAGCUGAAUCUGUUGUAAUGUGAUCAAACUCAAACUCUUGUUCUUGCUUUUUUAUUUGGAUGAUUCCAUCUGUCUGAGAGGACUUUGAUAGCAUAUCUUGAAUAGAUACUAGGCCAGCAAAGGACAGUGAUUCACACGAAUUGCUAGCUGCAACAAUAUCCAUGGAAAUCUGGUUUUGCAAUUGGAAUGCCAUUUUGUUGUGAACUUGGUUGCUAGAACCUGCAGCUUCUUAUAUAAACAAAGGCAUGGCUGGAUCAUGAUAUACAGUAGCGUCUGUCCUUUACUGUUUGUUUUUCCUUGGUGUUUUGCCGUUUCAGGUGUUAUUUUGCCGUUUCAUGUGUUAUCCAAUUGAACUACAUUCUGAACUGAAAUGUGUUCCCUGUUAUAACUUAGUCUAGGAUUGGCAUCUUGUCCCAUGAAGGGAGGUUUCUGGAUUUCUUAUUGUUCUUUUUUGGAGGGAUAGUUGGUCUCCUACAGCAAACUUUAAUAUAUUACCAUUGAGUUACAACUCAUUGAUUAA